UACGUAGGGUGCGAGCGUUGUCCGGAAUUAUUGGGCGUAAAGAGCUUGUAGGCGGUUUGUCGCGUCUGCUGUGAAAUUUCGGGGCUCAACCCCCAGCCUGCAGUGGGUACGGGCAGACUAGAGUGCGGUAGGGGAGAUUGGAAUUCCUGGUGUAGCGGUGGAAUGCGCAGAUAUCAGGAGGAACACCGAUGGCGAAGGCAGAUCUCUGGGCCGUAACUGACGCUGAGGAGCGAAAGCAUGGGGAGCGAACAGG
rnacentral:rRNA from 1 species